UAAUUGAAGAGUUUGAUCAUGGCUCAGAUUGAACGCUGGCGGCAGGCCUAACACAUGCAAGUCGAACG
rnacentral:rRNA from 1 species